GUCGAGCGAACGGACGAGAAGCUUGCUUCUCUGAUGUUAGCGGCGGACGGGUGAGUAACACGUGGAUAACCUACCUAUAAGACUGGGAUAACUUCGGGAAACCGUAGCUAAUACCGGAUAAUAUUUUGAACCGCAUGGUUCAAAAGUGAAAGACGGUCUUGCUGUCACUUAUAGAUGGAUCCGCGCUGCAUUAGCUAGUUGGUAAGGUAACGGCUUACCAAGGCAACGAUGCAUAGCCGACCUGAGAGGGUGAUCGGCCACACUGGAACUGAGACACGGUCCAGACUCCUACGGGAGGCAGCAGUAGGGAAUCUUCCGCAAUGGGCGAAAGCCUGACGGAGCAACGCCGCGUGAGUGAUGAAGGUCUUCGGAUCGUAAAACUCUGUUACUAGGGAAGAACAUAUGUGUAAGUAACUGUGCACAUCUUGACGGUACCUAAUCAGAAAGCCACGGCUAACUACGUGCCAGCAGCCGCGGUAAUACGUAGGUGGCAAGCGUUAUCCGGAAUUAUUGGGCGUAAAGCGCGCGUAGGCGGUUUUUUAAGUCUGAUGUGAAAGCCCACGGCUCAACCGUGGAGGGUCAUUGGAAACUGGAAAACUUGAGUGCAGAAGAGGAAAGUGGAAUUCCAUGUGUAGCGGUGAAAUGCGCAGAGAUAUGGAGGAACACCAGUGGCGAAGGCGACUUUCUGGUCUGUAACUGACGCUGAUGUGC
rnacentral:rRNA from 1 species